AAAGCAGAGCAACAGGGAUUGCCCUAGUAACGGCGAGUGAAGCGGCAACAGCUCAAAUUUGAAAUCUGGCCCCUUUUCGGGGUCCGAGUUGUAAUUUGCAGAGGGUGCUUUGGCAUAGGCGGCGGUCUAAGUUCCUUGGAACAGGACAUCGCAGAGGGUGAGAAUCCCGUAUGUGGGCGCCUGCCUUUGCCGUGUAAAGCCCCUUCGACGAGUCGAGUUGUUUGGGAAUGCAGCUCUAAAUGGGAGGUAAAUUUCUUCUAAAGCUAAAUACUGGCCAGAGACCGAUAGCGCACAAGUAGAGUGAUCGAAAGAUGAAAAGUACUUUGGAAAGAGAGUCAAAAAGCACGUGAAAUUGUUGAAAGGGAAGCGCUUGCAGCCAGACUUGCCCGUAGUUGCUCACCCAGGCUUUUGCCCGGGGCACUCUUCUGCGGGCAGGCCAGCAUCAGUUUGGGCGGUUGGAUAAAGGCCUCUGUCACGUAUCUCUCUUCGGGGAGACCUUAUAGGGGAGGCGUAAUGCGACCAGCCCGGACUGAGGUCCGCGCAUCUGCUAGGAUGCUGGCGUAAUGGCUGUAAGCGGCCCGUCUUGAAACACGGACCAAGGAGUCUAACAUCUAUGCGAGUGUUUGGGUGUCAAGCCCGGGCGCGCAAUGAAAGUGAACGGAGGUGGGAACCCCUCGGGGUGCACCAUCGACCGAUCCUGAAGUCUUCGGAUGGAUUUGAGUAAGAGCAUAGCUGUUGGGACCCGAAAGAUGGUGAACUAUGCUUGAAUAGGGUGAAGCCAGAGGAAACUCUGGUGGAGGCUCGCAGCGGUUCUGACGUGCAAAUCGAUCGUCAAAUUUGGGCAUAGGGGCGAAAGACUAAUCGAGCAUCAAUUG
rnacentral:rRNA from 1 species